rnacentral:rRNA from 1 species
UACGUAGGGUGCAAGCGUUGUCCGGAAUUAUUGGGCGUAAAGAGCUCGUAGGCGGUCUGUUGCGUCGGCUGUGAAAACCCGGGGCUCAACCCCGGGCCUGCAGCCGAUACGGGCAGACUAGAGUUCGGCAGGGGAGACUGGAAUUCCUGGUGUAGCGGUGAAAUGCGCAGAUAUCAGGAGGAACACCGGUGGCGAAGGCGGUUCUCUGGGCAUGUCCUGACGCUGAGGAGCGAAAGUGUGGGGAGCGAACAGG